UCCGAUCCGAACACAAUUUCACACUUUUUUUAUUUCAUUGAUGACUGUGCAAACAGACUUUAACGAAAUUUGUCAAGCUAUUUGGCACGUGUUAACAAAAGAUUACGUAAAGUUUCCAAGCAGAAAAGAAUUUGCCAAUCUUGCGAAGAAAUUUUAAAAUAAAAUGGAAGUUAUUUCAUGGCGUUGAUGCAAUGAAUGAAAAACUUGUUGUGAGAGAGAGACAGAUUUUCGAUAUAAAAUUUCCACCACUCGGACAGAAUUAGCACAUUAUCGAUGGACUGGACACGUAAAAUUUUCCAGGUUUUUUUUCACGCAUAUAACGCAUAAAUAAUGACCACAUUGACUCUAAAUGAUGUUCUCGAGAAACAUUUUUUUAAGUAAAUCGCCUACGUCUUUCUCUGUGAUUACCUACAAAAAAACAAAACAAAAUGAAAUUCCGAACUAAAAUUACUUCUCAUACGUAAUUCUAAGCACGUUUCUAAUUGUUGCGUAAACAAUAGAUAGUAAUAAUAGAUUUUCGGCCAUUGUCGAAGAGUUUUUUGUUCGAUGCUCAAUUGUCGAAUGCGAUAUUUGUUCUUCAAGUUAAGUUUAAUGAUUUAUAAUUAUCAAAUGGAUUUACGUGAUAAAAGUCAAUAUUCCGCGUGUGAAAACGAUGUUACUGCGGAAGAUUCUUUCAUUAGUAUAGUGAAUGCAAUCCUACGACUGACGUCUGCAAUUAAUGCCGAUUUUCCGGAAGAAACUGAAUCGUCUUCUUUCGAUUCCGACGACGAAGAGGAUGGAAAUUUCUGGUUUCUGGAAACUACUCGAUGCGAAAACAGACCUUUGAAGAAAGAGUUCAUAUUUCUAGAGAAGCAUUCAUUGGUCAAAAAAAUAAUAUGUGAGGAAGACGAAGACGAUGACGUCAAUAUUAAAUUGAAUGAAGAUAAGAAUAAAAAGAAAGAGAUGACUGGAACAAAUAAACAGUCGAAAAAAUUAAUUCGAUUGAAUAAGAGAAAAAAUACUGAUGGUCGAUUUGCAUACAAAAGUCAAUCGGAUGAUGAUGAUGAAGAAACGACCAAAUGUUUCGAUGUUUUCGUGAAAUUUUUUUGCAGAUUUCCAUCUAUUAUCUGCUCUUGUUUCAAAAGAAAAAAGUAAAAUGGCGGAAUGUACAUCAUCGUCUAUAUUUUAAUCGUUACAUUCCGUUCAGCACAUAAAAGGAAAAAAAAAAUAUUACAUUUUAUUUAAUAUUAUUAGAAAAAUUUAUGGAACGCACAUUACAAAAUUUAUUGGUCAAAAUAUCUGGUGUGCAACUUUCAUCGGCAGGCGCCCUGGCGAUCUGUACAUUCGGCCGAUUUAUUAAUUCUUAAUAAAUACAUAGCAAAGCAUAAUUUGGAAAAAAUGAAAUGAAAAGUUAAAAAAACAUUGGAAUUGUAAAAAUUACAUUUCGAAAAAGUUUCAUAAAAAUGGAAGUUUCGAAAAUUUAAUCAAAAAUUUACAAGAAAAAUUCAAAAUUAAAAUAUAAAUCGUAUAAAAAUCAACAUAAUUCAAAAUGCAUGCCUCUGCAAGGGAAGAAACCAAAAGACAUCAGAAGGAAUUGGCAAGGUGUCCCUUCGUAGAGGCAUAAUCACCAUACUUGUCUCUACAAGGGAAAAAGCGCAGGUCAUCAGAAGGAAUUGGCAAGGUGUCCCUUCGUGGAGGCAUAAUCACCAUACUUGUCUCUACAAGGGAAAAAGCGCAGGUCAUCAGAAGGAAUUGGCAAGGUGUCCCUUCGUGGAGGCAUAAUCACCAUACUUGUCUCUACAAGGGAAAAAGCGCAGGUCAUCAGAAGGAAUUGGCAAGGUGUCCCUUCGUGGAGGCAUAAUCACCAUACUUGUCUCUACAAGGGAAAAAGCGCAGGUCAUCAGAAGGAAUUGGCAAGGUGUCCCUUCGUGGAGGCAUAAUCACCAUACUUGUCUCUACAAGGGAAAAAGCGCAGGUCAUCAGAAGGAAUUGGCAAGGUGUCCCUUCGUGGAGGCAUAAUCACCAUACUUGUCUCUACAAGGGAAAAAGCGCAGGUCAUCAGAAGGAAUUGGCAAGGUGUCCCUUCGUGGAGGCAUAAUCACCAUACUUGUCUCUACAAGGGAAAAAGCGCAGGUCAUCAGAAGGAAUUGGCAAGGUGUCCCUUCGUGGAGGCAUAAUCACCAUACUUGUCUCUACAAGGGAAAAAGCGCAGGUCAUCAGAAGGAAUUGGCAAGGUGUCCCUUCGUGGAGGCAUAAUCACCAUACUUGUCUCUACAAGGGAAAAAGCGCAGGUCAUCAGAAGGAAUUGGCAAGGUGUCCCUUCGUGGAGGCAUAAUCACCAUACUUGUCUCUACAAGGGAAAAAGCGCAGGUCAUCAGAAGGAAUUGGCAAGGUGUCCCUUCGUGGAGGCAUAAUCACCAUACUUGUCUCUACAAGGGAAAAAGCGCAGGUCAUCAGAAGGAAUUGGCAAGGUGUCCCUUCGUGGAGGCAUAAUCACCAUACUUGUCUCUACAAGGGAAAAAGCGCAGGUCAUCAGAAGGAAUUGGCAAGGUGUCCCUUCGUGGAGGCAUAAUCACCAUACUUGUCUCUACAAGGGAAAAAGCGCAGGUCAUCAGAAGGAAUUGGCAAGGUGUCCCUUCGUGGAGGCAUAAUCACCAUACUUGUCUCUACAAGGGAAAAAGCGCAGGUCAUCAGAAGGAAUUGGCAAGGUGUCCCUUCGUGGAGGCAUAAUCACCAUACUUGUCUCUACAAGGGAAAAAGCGCAGGUCAUCAGAAGGAAUUGGCAAGGUGUCCCUUCGUGGAGGCAUAAUCACCAUACUUGUCUCUACAAGGGAAAAAGCGCAGGUCAUCAGAAGGAAUUGGCAAGGUGUCCCUUCGUGGAGGCAUAAUCACCAUACUUGUCUCUACAAGGGAAAAAGCGCAGGUCAUCAGAAGGAAUUGGCAAGGUGUCCCUUCGUGGAGGCAUAAUCACCAUACUUGUCUCUACAAGGGAAAAAGCGCAGGUCAUCAGAAGGAAUUGGCAAGGUGUCCCUUCGUGGAGGCAUAAUCACCAUACUUGUCUCUACAAGGGAAAAAGCGCAGGUCAUCAGAAGGAAUUGGCAAGGUGUCCCUUCGUGGAGGCAUAAUCACCAUACUUGUCUCUACAAGGGAAAAAGCGCAGGUCAUCAGAAGGAAUUGGCAAGGUGUCCCUUCGUGGAGGCAUAAUCACCAUACUUGUCUCUACAAGGGAAAAAGCGCAGGUCAUCAGAAGGAAUUGGCAAGGUGUCCCUUCGUGGAGGCAUAAUCACCAUACUUGUCUCUACAAGGGAAAAAGCGCAGGUCAUCAGAAGGAAUUGGCAAGGUGUCCCUUCGUGGAGGCAUAAUCACCAUACUUGUCUCUACAAGGGAAAAAGCGCAGGUCAUCAGAAGGAAUUGGCAAGGUGUCCCUUCGUGGAGGCAUAAUCACCAUACUUGUCUCUACAAGGGAAAAAGCGCAGGUCAUCAGAAGGAAUUGGCAAGGUGUCCCUUCGUGGAGGCAUAAUCACCAUACUUGUCUCUACAAGGGAAAAAGCGCAGGUCAUCAGAAGGAAUUGGCAAGGUGUCCCUUCGUGGAGGCAUAAUCACCAUACUUGUCUCUACAAGGGAAAAAGCGCAGGUCAUCAGAAGGAAUUGGCAAGGUGUCCCUUCGUGGAGGCAUAAUCACCAUACUUGUCUCUACAAGGGAAAAAGCGCAGGUCAUCAGAAGGAAUUGGCAAGGUGUCCCUUCGUGGAGGCAUAAUCACCAUACUUGUCUCUACAAGGGAAAAAGCGCAGGUCAUCAGAAGGAAUUGGCAAGGUGUCCCUUCGUGGAGGCAUAAUCACCAUACUUGUCUCUACAAGGGAAAAAGCGCAGGUCAUCAGAAGGAAUUGGCAAGGUGUCCCUUCGUGGAGGCAUAAUCACCAUACUUGUCUCUACAAGGGAAAAAGCGCAGGUCAUCAGAAGGAAUUGGCAAGGUGUCCCUUCGUGGAGGCAUAAUCACCAUACUUGUCUCUACAAGGGAAAAAGCGCAGGUCAUCAGAAGGAAUUGGCAAGGUGUCCCUUCGUGGAGGCAUAAUCACCAUACUUGUCUCUACAAGGGAAAAAGCGCAGGUCAUCAGAAGGAAUUGGCAAGGUGUCCCUUCGUGGAGGCAUAAUCACCAUACUUGUCUCUACAAGGGAAAAAGCGCAGGUCAUCAGAAGGAAUUGGCAAGGUGUCCCUUCGUGGAGGCAUAAUCACCAUACUUGUCUCUACAAGGGAAAAAGCGCAGGUCAUCAGAAGGAAUUGGCAAGGUGUCCCUUCGUGGAGGCAUAAUCACCAUACUUGUCUCUACAAGGGAAAAAGCGCAGGUCAUCAGAAGGAAUUGGCAAGGUGUCCCUUCGUGGAGGCAUAAUCACCAUACUUGUCUCUACAAGGGAAAAAGCGCAGGUCAUCAGAAGGAAUUGGCAAGGUGUCCCUUCGUGGAGGCAUAAUCACCAUACUUGUCUCUACAAGGGAAAAAGCGCAGGUCAUCAGAAGGAAUUGGCAAGGUGUCCCUUCGUGGAGGCAUAAUCACCAUACUUGUCUCUACAAGGGAAAAAGCGCAGGUCAUCAGAAGGAAUUGGCAAGGUGUCCCUUCGUGGAGGCAUAAUCACCAUACUUGUCUCUACAAGGGAAAAAGCGCAGGUCAUCAGAAGGAAUUGGCAAGGUGUCCCUUCGUGGAGGCAUAAUCACCAUACUUGUCUCUACAAGGGAAAAAGCGCAGGUCAUCAGAAGGAAUUGGCAAGGUGUCCCUUCGUGGAGGCAUAAUCACCAUACUUGUCUCUACAAGGGAAAAAGCGCAGGUCAUCAGAAGGAAUUGGCAAGGUGUCCCUUCGUGGAGGCAUAAUCACCAUACUUGUCUCUACAAGGGAAAAAGCGCAGGUCAUCAGAAGGAAUUGGCAAGGUGUCCCUUCGUGGAGGCAUAAUCACCAUACUUGUCUCUACAAGGGAAAAAGCGCAGGUCAUCAGAAGGAAUUGGCAAGGUGUCCCUUCGUGGAGGCAUAAUCACCAUACUUGUCUCUACAAGGGAAAAAGCGCAGGUCAUCAGAAGGAAUUGGCAAGGUGUCCCUUCGUGGAGGCAUAAUCACCAUACUUGUCUCUACAAGGGAAAAAGCGCAGGUCAUCAGAAGGAAUUGGCAAGGUGUCCCUUCGUGGAGGCAUAAUCACCAUACUUGUCUCUACAAGGGAAAAAGCGCAGGUCAUCAGAAGGAAUUGGCAAGGUGUCCCUUCGUGGAGGCAUAAUCACCAUACUUGUCUCUACAAGGGAAAAAGCGCAGGUCAUCAGAAGGAAUUGGCAAGGUGUCCCUUCGUGGAGGCAUAAUCACCAUACUUGUCUCUACAAGGGAAAAAGCGCAGGUCAUCAGAAGGAAUUGGCAAGGUGUCCCUUCGUGGAGGCAUAAUCACCAUACUUGUCUCUACAAGGGAAAAAGCGCAGGUCAUCAGAAGGAAUUGGCAAGGUGUCCCUUCGUGGAGGCAUAAUCACCAUACUUGUCUCUACAAGGGAAAAAGCGCAGGUCAUCAGAAGGAAUUGGCAAGGUGUCCCUUCGUGGAGGCAUAAUCACCAUACUUGUCUCUACAAGGGAAAAAGCGCAGGUCAUCAGAAGGAAUUGGCAAGGUGUCCCUUCGUGGAGGCAUAAUCACCAUACUUGUCUCUACAAGGGAAAAAGCGCAGGUCAUCAGAAGGAAUUGGCAAGGUGUCCCUUCGUGGAGGCAUAAUCACCAUACUUGUCUCUACAAGGGAAAAAGCGCAGGUCAUCAGAAGGAAUUGGCAAGGUGUCCCUUCGUGGAGGCAUAAUCACCAUACUUGUCUCUACAAGGGAAAAAGCGCAGGUCAUCAGAAGGAAUUGGCAAGGUGUCCCUUCGUGGAGGCAUAAUCACCAUACUUGUCUCUACAAGGGAAAAAGCGCAGGUCAUCAGAAGGAAUUGGCAAGGUGUCCCUUCGUGGAGGCAUAAUCACCAUACUUGUCUCUACAAGGGAAAAAGCGCAGGUCAUCAGAAGGAAUUGGCAAGGUGUCCCUUCGUGGAGGCAUAAUCACCAUACUUGUCUCUACAAGGGAAAAAGCGCAGGUCAUCAGAAGGAAUUGGCAAGGUGUCCCUUCGUGGAGGCAUAAUCACCAUACUUGUCUCUACAAGGGAAAAAGCGCAGGUCAUCAGAAGGAAUUGGCAAGGUGUCCCUUCGUGGAGGCAUAAUCACCAUACUUGUCUCUACAAGGGAAAAAGCGCAGGUCAUCAGAAGGAAUUGGCAAGGUGUCCCUUCGUGGAGGCAUAAUCACCAUACUUGUCUCUACAAGGGAAAAAGCGCAGGUCAUCAGAAGGAAUUGGCAAGGUGUCCCUUCGUGGAGGCAUAAUCACCAUACUUGUCUCUACAAGGGAAAAAGCGCAGGUCAUCAGAAGGAAUUGGCAAGGUGUCCCUUCGUGGAGGCAUAAUCACCAUACUUGUCUCUACAAGGGAAAAAGCGCAGGUCAUCAGAAGGAAUUGGCAAGGUGUCCCUUCGUGGAGGCAUAAUCACCAUACUUGUCUCUACAAGGGAAAAAGCGCAGGUCAUCAGAAGGAAUUGGCAAGGUGUCCCUUCGUGGAGGCAUAAUCACCAUACUUGUCUCUACAAGGGAAAAAGCGCAGGUCAUCAGAAGGAAUUGGCAAGGUGUCCCUUCGUGGAGGCAUAAUCACCAUACUUGUCUCUACAAGGGAAAAAGCGCAGGUCAUCAGAAGGAAUUGGCAAGGUGUCCCUUCGUGGAGGCAUAAUCACCAUACUUGUCUCUACAAGGGAAAAAGCGCAGGUCAUCAGAAGGAAUUGGCAAGGUGUCCCUUCGUGGAGGCAUAAUCACCAUACUUGUCUCUACAAGGGAAAAAGCGCAGGUCAUCAGAAGGAAUUGGCAAGGUGUCCCUUCGUGGAGGCAUAAUCACCAUACUUGUCUCUACAAGGGAAAAAGCGCAGGUCAUCAGAAGGAAUUGGCAAGGUGUCCCUUCGUGGAGGCAUAAUCACCAUACUUGUCUCUACAAGGGAAAAAGCGCAGGUCAUCAGAAGGAAUUGGCAAGGUGUCCCUUCGUGGAGGCAUAAUCACCAUACUUGUCUCUACAAGGGAAAAAGCGCAGGUCAUCAGAAGGAAUUGGCAAGGUGUCCCUUCGUGGAGGCAUAAUCACCAUACUUGUCUCUACAAGGGAAAAAGCGCAGGUCAUCAGAAGGAAUUGGCAAGGUGUCCCUUCGUGGAGGCAUAAUCACCAUACUUGUCUCUACAAGGGAAAAAGCGCAGGUCAUCAGAAGGAAUUGGCAAGGUGUCCCUUCGUGGAGGCAUAAUCACCAUACUUGUCUCUACAAGGGAAAAAGCGCAGGUCAUCAGAAGGAAUUGGCAAGGUGUCCCUUCGUGGAGGCAUAAUCACCAUACUUGUCUCUACAAGGGAAAAAGCGCAGGUCAUCAGAAGGAAUUGGCAAGGUGUCCCUUCGUGGAGGCAUAAUCACCAUACUUGUCUCUACAAGGGAAAAAGCGCAGGUCAUCAGAAGGAAUUGGCAAGGUGUCCCUUCGUGGAGGCAUAAUCACCAUACUUGUCUCUACAAGGGAAAAAGCGCAGGUCAUCAGAAGGAAUUGGCAAGGUGUCCCUUCGUGGAGGCAUAAUCACCAUACUUGUCUCUACAAGGGAAAAAGCGCAGGUCAUCAGAAGGAAUUGGCAAGGUGUCCCUUCGUGGAGGCAUAAUCACCAUACUUGUCUCUACAAGGGAAAAAGCGCAGGUCAUCAGAAGGAAUUGGCAAGGUGUCCCUUCGUGGAGGCAUAAUCACCAUACUUGUCUCUACAAGGGAAAAAGCGCAGGUCAUCAGAAGGAAUUGGCAAGGUGUCCCUUCGUGGAGGCAUAAUCACCAUACUUGUCUCUACAAGGGAAAAAGCGCAGGUCAUCAGAAGGAAUUGGCAAGGUGUCCCUUCGUGGAGGCAUAAUCACCAUACUUGUCUCUACAAGGGAAAAAGCGCAGGUCAUCAGAAGGAAUUGGCAAGGUGUCCCUUCGUGGAGGCAUAAUCACCAUACUUGUCUCUACAAGGGAAAAAGCGCAGGUCAUCAGAAGGAAUUGGCAAGGUGUCCCUUCGUGGAGGCAUAAUCACCAUACUUGUCUCUACAAGGGAAAAAGCGCAGGUCAUCAGAAGGAAUUGGCAAGGUGUCCCUUCGUGGAGGCAUAAUCACCAUACUUGUCUCUACAAGGGAAAAAGCGCAGGUCAUCAGAAGGAAUUGGCAAGGUGUCCCUUCGUGGAGGCAUAAUCACCAUACUUGUCUCUACAAGGGAAAAAGCGCAGGUCAUCAGAAGGAAUUGGCAAGGUGUCCCUUCGUGGAGGCAUAAUCACCAUACUUGUCUCUACAAGGGAAAAAGCGCAGGUCAUCAGAAGGAAUUGGCAAGGUGUCCCUUCGUGGAGGCAUAAUCACCAUACUUGUCUCUACAAGGGAAAAAGCGCAGGUCAUCAGAAGGAAUUGGCAAGGUGUCCCUUCGUGGAGGCAUAAUCACCAUACUUGUCUCUACAAGGGAAAAAGCGCAGGUCAUCAGAAGGAAUUGGCAAGGUGUCCCUUCGUGGAGGCAUAAUCACCAUACUUGUCUCUACAAGGGAAAAAGCGCAGGUCAUCAGAAGGAAUUGGCAAGGUGUCCCUUCGUGGAGGCAUAAUCACCAUACUUGUCUCUACAAGGGAAAAAGCGCAGGUCAUCAGAAGGAAUUGGCAAGGUGUCCCUUCGUGGAGGCAUAAUCACCAUACUUGUCUCUACAAGGGAAAAAGCGCAGGUCAUCAGAAGGAAUUGGCAAGGUGUCCCUUCGUGGAGGCAUAAUCACCAUACUUGUCUCUACAAGGGAAAAAGCGCAGGUCAUCAGAAGGAAUUGGCAAGGUGUCCCUUCGUGGAGGCAUAAUCACCAUACUUGUCUCUACAAGGGAAAAAGCGCAGGUCAUCAGAAGGAAUUGGCAAGGUGUCCCUUCGUGGAGGCAUAAUCACCAUACUUGUCUCUACAAGGGAAAAAGCGCAGGUCAUCAGAAGGAAUUGGCAAGGUGUCCCUUCGUGGAGGCAUAAUCACCAUACUUGUCUCUACAAGGGAAAAAGCGCAGGUCAUCAGAAGGAAUUGGCAAGGUGUCCCUUCGUGGAGGCAUAAUCACCAUACUUGUCUCUACAAGGGAAAAAGCGCAGGUCAUCAGAAGGAAUUGGCAAGGUGUCCCUUCGUGGAGGCAUAAUCACCAUACUUGUCUCUACAAGGGAAAAAGCGCAGGUCAUCAGAAGGAAUUGGCAAGGUGUCCCUUCGUGGAGGCAUAAUCACCAUACUUGUCUCUACAAGGGAAAAAGCGCAGGUCAUCAGAAGGAAUUGGCAAGGUGUCCCUUCGUGGAGGCAUAAUCACCAUACUUGUCUCUACAAGGGAAAAAGCGCAGGUCAUCAGAAGGAAUUGGCAAGGUGUCCCUUCGUGGAGGCAUAAUCACCAUACUUGUCUCUACAAGGGAAAAAGCGCAGGUCAUCAGAAGGAAUUGGCAAGGUGUCCCUUCGUGGAGGCAUAAUCACCAUACUUGUCUCUACAAGGGAAAAAGCGCAGGUCAUCAGAAGGAAUUGGCAAGGUGUCCCUUCGUGGAGGCAUAAUCACCAUACUUGUCUCUACAAGGGAAAAAGCGCAGGUCAUCAGAAGGAAUUGGCAAGGUGUCCCUUCGUGGAGGCAUAAUCACCAUACUUGUCUCUACAAGGGAAAAAGCGCAGGUCAUCAGAAGGAAUUGGCAAGGUGUCCCUUCGUGGAGGCAUAAUCACCAUACUUGUCUCUACAAGGGAAAAAGCGCAGGUCAUCAGAAGGAAUUGGCAAGGUGUCCCUUCGUGGAGGCAUAAUCACCAUACUUGUCUCUACAAGGGAAAAAGCGCAGGUCAUCAGAAGGAAUUGGCAAGGUGUCCCUUCGUGGAGGCAUAAUCACCAUACUUGUCUCUACAAGGGAAAAAGCGCAGGUCAUCAGAAGGAAUUGGCAAGGUGUCCCUUCGUGGAGGCAUAAUCACCAUACUUGUCUCUACAAGGGAAAAAGCGCAGGUCAUCAGAAGGAAUUGGCAAGGUGUCCCUUCGUGGAGGCAUAAUCACCAUACUUGUCUCUACAAGGGAAAAAGCGCAGGUCAUCAGAAGGAAUUGGCAAGGUGUCCCUUCGUGGAGGCAUAAUCACCAUACUUGUCUCUACAAGGGAAAAAGCGCAGGUCAUCAGAAGGAAUUGGCAAGGUGUCCCUUCGUGGAGGCAUAAUCACCAUACUUGUCUCUACAAGGGAAAAAGCGCAGGUCAUCAGAAGGAAUUGGCAAGGUGUCCCUUCGUGGAGGCAUAAUCACCAUACUUGUCUCUACAAGGGAAAAAGCGCAGGUCAUCAGAAGGAAUUGGCAAGGUGUCCCUUCGUGGAGGCAUAAUCACCAUACUUGUCUCUACAAGGGAAAAAGCGCAGGUCAUCAGAAGGAAUUGGCAAGGUGUCCCUUCGUGGAGGCAUAAUCACCAUACUUGUCUCUACAAGGGAAAAAGCGCAGGUCAUCAGAAGGAAUUGGCAAGGUGUCCCUUCGUGGAGGCAUAAUCACCAUACUUGUCUCUACAAGGGAAAAAGCGCAGGUCAUCAGAAGGAAUUGGCAAGGUGUCCCUUCGUGGAGGCAUAAUCACCAUACUUGUCUCUACAAGGGAAAAAGCGCAGGUCAUCAGAAGGAAUUGGCAAGGUGUCCCUUCGUGGAGGCAUAAUCACCAUACUUGUCUCUACAAGGGAAAAAGCGCAGGUCAUCAGAAGGAAUUGGCAAGGUGUCCCUUCGUGGAGGCAUAAUCACCAUACUUGUCUCUACAAGGGAAAAAGCGCAGGUCAUCAGAAGGAAUUGGCAAGGUGUCCCUUCGUGGAGGCAUAAUCACCAUACUUGUCUCUACAAGGGAAAAAGCGCAGGUCAUCAGAAGGAAUUGGCAAGGUGUCCCUUCGUGGAGGCAUAAUCACCAUACUUGUCUCUACAAGGGAAAAAGCGCAGGUCAUCAGAAGGAAUUGGCAAGGUGUCCCUUCGUGGAGGCAUAAUCACCAUACUUGUCUCUACAAGGGAAAAAGCGCAGGUCAUCAGAAGGAAUUGGCAAGGUGUCCCUUCGUGGAGGCAUAAUCACCAUACUUGUCUCUACAAGGGAAAAAGCGCAGGUCAUCAGAAGGAAUUGGCAAGGUGUCCCUUCGUGGAGGCAUAAUCACCAUACUUGUCUCUACAAGGGAAAAAGCGCAGGUCAUCAGAAGGAAUUGGCAAGGUGUCCCUUCGUGGAGGCAUAAUCACCAUACUUGUCUCUACAAGGGAAAAAGCGCAGGUCAUCAGAAGGAAUUGGCAAGGUGUCCCUUCGUGGAGGCAUAAUCACCAUACUUGUCUCUACAAGGGAAAAAGCGCAGGUCAUCAGAAGGAAUUGGCAAGGUGUCCCUUCGUGGAGGCAUAAUCACCAUACUUGUCUCUACAAGGGAAAAAGCGCAGGUCAUCAGAAGGAAUUGGCAAGGUGUCCCUUCGUGGAGGCAUAAUCACCAUACUUGUCUCUACAAGGGAAAAAGCGCAGGUCAUCAGAAGGAAUUGGCAAGGUGUCCCUUCGUGGAGGCAUAAUCACCAUACUUGUCUCUACAAGGGAAAAAGCGCAGGUCAUCAGAAGGAAUUGGCAAGGUGUCCCUUCGUGGAGGCAUAAUCACCAUACUUGUCUCUACAAGGGAAAAAGCGCAGGUCAUCAGAAGGAAUUGGCAAGGUGUCCCUUCGUGGAGGCAUAAUCACCAUACUUGUCUCUACAAGGGAAAAAGCGCAGGUCAUCAGAAGGAAUUGGCAAGGUGUCCCUUCGUGGAGGCAUAAUCACCAUACUUGUCUCUACAAGGGAAAAAGCGCAGGUCAUCAGAAGGAAUUGGCAAGGUGUCCCUUCGUGGAGGCAUAAUCACCAUACUUGUCUCUACAAGGGAAAAAGCGCAGGUCAUCAGAAGGAAUUGGCAAGGUGUCCCUUCGUGGAGGCAUAAUCACCAUACUUGUCUCUACAAGGGAAAAAGCGCAGGUCAUCAGAAGGAAUUGGCAAGGUGUCCCUUCGUGGAGGCAUAAUCACCAUACUUGUCUCUACAAGGGAAAAAGCGCAGGUCAUCAGAAGGAAUUGGCAAGGUGUCCCUUCGUGGAGGCAUAAUCACCAUACUUGUCUCUACAAGGGAAAAAGCGCAGGUCAUCAGAAGGAAUUGGCAAGGUGUCCCUUCGUGGAGGCAUAAUCACCAUACUUGUCUCUACAAGGAAAAAGCGAAAGAGAUAAGAACGAUUUGUCAAGGUGUUCCUUCGUGGAGUCAUUAUCAAUAAUGCUUGUCUCUGCAAGAGAAGAAACCAAGAAAAUAUCAAUUGAAAUAGUAAAACAGAAAUCUGUUUGCCUUCGAUAAUAUUUCGAUUACGUAACAAAAUAAUGGAUCGUGACAUGAGAAAUGCUGUUUUUCCUAAAGAUAAAAGCUUCAUUCUAUUCAAAUCUUUAAGGCAGACAAAGGUUUUUUUUCUGAAUCAAACAAAUAAUUACUUUCAUUUGAUCUCAAAAUAUGGAAUCCGUGUUUAAAUUUAAGAAAUAGAGUUGGAAUGCACACCGUUUAACACCUAUUUAUAUGUUUUUUCUACGAAAGUGUUUUAUCUUAGGUUUAUUAUUAUUAUUUGUAAAAAUUAUUACCAUGAUUGCAACUAAAGUCGUUAGUCUUUGUGUUGCGUUUUUCAAACAAUAAAUUAA